UAAUUAAGCAGAGGAAAAGAAACUAACCAGGAUUGACUUAGUAAGGGCGACUGAAGGGUCAACAGCUCACCAUGUGAAUCUGCACCUUUAAGGUGCCGAAUUGUGGUCUGGAGACUAUUGCAAUCUAGGGCCAGGUCAAGUUCCUUGGAACGGGGCAGCUCAGAGGGUGACACUCCCAUAUGCCUGGCCUUGAGAGCAAUUGUCAUGGAGUCGAGUUGUUUGGGAUUGCAGCUCCAAGUGGGUGGUAAAUUCCAUCGAAAGCUAAAUACUGGUGGAAAACCGAUAGCGAACAAGUACCGUGAGGGAAAGAUGCAAAGAACUUUGAAAAGAGAGUUAAAGAGUACCUGAAAUUGCUGAAAAAGAAGCAAAGGAAACCAGUGUUGGUUGUGCCAUAUUUCCCUGCUCGCUUGCGGUUGGGGCGCUGUGGCCAGCGUAGUCUUCUUUGAUUGACUUGGGUGGAUGCAUGUCAAAGUUAGUUGUGCUUUGCUUGUUGCGUCCGAGUUGAUUGAUUGAGACAAAAUGGUUUUCUUUUCCCCGUCUUG
rnacentral:rRNA from 1 species